GUGAAUCAUCAAAUUUUUGAACGCAAAUUGCACUCUCUUCGGAGAGUAUGCCUGUUUGAGGGUCAGUUUUAAUAAAAAUUGUGUUUUUUUGUGUGUGUGAGGCUACGGAGUUUGGGUAAUUUUAAUAUAUUUUUGGUUUUAAGUGGUAUAAAAUUGACUGUUUUUUUGCAUUUUAGAUGUACAUAAAUUUUUUUUUUUAUGCGUCUGUCUUAAUGCUCAUAAUCCUAUUAGAUGCGAUCAUC
rnacentral:misc_RNA from 1 species